UACGUAGGUGGCAAGCGUUAUCCGGAAUUACUGGGCGUAAAGCGCGCGUAGGCGGUGAUCUUUGUCAGAGGUGAAAGCCUGGGGCUCAACUCCAGAAUUGCCUUUGAAACGGGAUCGCUUGAGUCCGAGAGAGGAUGGCGGAAUUCCUAGUGUAGAGGUGAAAUUCGUAGAUAUUAGGAAGAACACCGGUGGCGAAGGCGGCCAUCUGGCUCGGUACUGACGCUCAGGCGCGAAAGCGUGGGGAGCAAACAGG
rnacentral:rRNA from 1 species